rnacentral:lncRNA from 1 species
CUCAAUAAACAAUAGCAGAGCUUUGAUUUUGAACUCUUCUAAUUUGGUUGAUACUUGAUAGAGUUGGUGAAGUAGUUUUGUCCCUGCAUAGUAAUUUUUAGAGUUUAAUCCAGUUUUCAUCCCUAAUUUCUCAACCAAUAAGUUUUGUUAUACACAUUUCCGAAAAAGCAUCCCCUAACUUAAAAAAAAGGAUCAUAUUGCAAUUUGCAACCAUCAAAUUUUUUGUUUUAAGUCGCAUCGUUAACAUUAAAUAGGAAAGUACAUUAUCCUCAAACAACUUAAAAAGAAAAAGAAAGAAAUAAUUAUCUCCUUGAAACCAUCGAUCAGCACAUAUCUUGCUUCCCUCUCAAACACACCUAAUAAAUCCUAGAUAUCUCUCUAGAUUCAACCUCAUAAAUUAUAUUUUACUAUGCGAAGUCUCUUACAGGUCACUAUAUAUCUAAUUUCCCUUUCAAACGCACCUAAUGAUUCCUGGAUAAUCUCUCUCCACUCAUCCUAAUAAAUAGAAUGUAACUACGCAAUGUCGCACUAAUGGGUCACUGGCUAUCCUUCUUUGGAUGCUAUUGAUGGUAGAGAAAUCCCCAAUUAUGGUGGUAAAAAAAUUUCAAGCUGCAAUGUGAAGAAAGCAAAAAAGAUGGGACAGAACAAACAUGCUACAUAUGCAGGAUUUGUGGGAUGAAAACAUGAGCCGAAAGCUGCAUAUAUAUAUGCACUUAUAAAACUAGGGUGCUCCUCCCUG